CCACUUACCUCGGUGAGAUCCAUGAAAACAAUAUAUGAAAGCAAUAACAUUAUCAUCAUCAUAAAAUCAUAUAAACUUUAUAACAUAACACUUACCACGCCUUUGCAUUUCAAUCAUUAAACAACAUAUUUUUCUCUUUUACCAGCCUACUAGUAUCCAUGGGGAUCCAUAGGGGUCCCCCCUGCCCGUGAACUAUUAACAUUACAACUUGAUUCCAGGGCCGUCCCCAUACCCCGUCCGGUAUGGGCGCCAAAACCAUGAACCUCAAUACCCCGUCCAGUAUGAGGGUGAAACGGGCCGUCCCCAUACCCCGUCCAGUAUGGGCGCCAAAAUACAUAAGGUCUCCAUACCCCGUCCAGUAUGAGAGACCACGUUCCCGGUAGGGUUCCCUACGGACCCGGUCCGUCCACCAUCUCCCAGGAUAUCUAGUCAGGUUGUCCACAUUUUUCACUUAUAAAUUCACAUAACAUUUUUGCCAUUUUCCUUAAUCUCAAUUAUCCAAUAAUGCAAAACAUGUAAACCAGUAAUUGACACCAAAUAAGACAAUACAGUACCGGGUUCACCAUAAUACAAACCAUAAUAAAAGAAAUCAUAGUUCAUGUAUACGAGACCAUAACAUAAUUACAUCAAACAUCAUGCUGCAUUUAAUACUGAAAAUUAGAUCAAACAAUAACAGACCAACACUGUAUCAAACUCGGGCUCCAUUGGCAACCUUAAUCAAAUAUACAUCUAUAAAGUCACAAAGUACAAUUUAAUUAUUU
rnacentral:lncRNA from 1 species